rnacentral:SRP_RNA from 1 species
CGUCGACGUUGAUGCACUGGUAUUCCCUGAACCGGGUCAGAGCCGGAAGGCAGCAGCCCUCAGGGGACCCUGCCAGGUGCGGAGUUGGCGAUCGUG